rnacentral:lncRNA from 1 species
UCUCCGCAAGGUACAGCAUAUCCGGCUCGUCCCUAAGACUCGAGAGAAAUCCGAUCCCUCCAAGGCGUGGCAGUCCAGUUCAUCCCCGAGACCUCGAGAGAAGCUGGGGCGUCUCCAGAAGCAGCGUCAGGGCUCGGGUCCCAGAGGACCCAAAGCCGACGAGGCGUGGCCGUCCAGUCUCCCUCCAAAGGGGGAAGGUGGAGAUCUUCCCUGCGGCGAGGAAGAUCCGGGUCGUCGCCAGGAGAACCUGGUCCCGGUCCCAUCUCCAGACGAGGCAGAUCAGAAGCUCCCUGCGGAGAGACCGAUCCUUAUGUUCACUGGCAGGAGCCUCGCGAGAUCCACUCGCUGAUUCUCCCGCCGGGCAGGCGCUCGCCGUCCUCACCCGUACGCAGCGCAUUCCGGGACGCCGCCCGCGCCCGAGCCGAGCGGGUCCUCCCCGCACCGCGGCACCCGCCAGCCCCGCUCCCGCUCCCCACCGAAACUGGACGUCUCCCGCACCCCGGCCUCUUCCUACCAUGGCCGCUCGAAGGCGUCGCCGGCCAGGACCCGCUCAGGCUCCGGCUCGCCAAAACGAGCCGGGAGGAGGUCCCGCUCCCCACCGGUGCUGGAGAAAUACCCCAAAGUGGGAGCGGCCGACAAGGCAGCACCAGGCAGAGCUGAGAAGACGUCGCCCGUGGUGGCGGUGCCCAUCCGGCGCAGCCCGUCCCGCUCCCCGCCGGCUCCGGAUGAGUCCUCUCCCAAAGCCAGGAAAGCCCAUUCCCCUGGCCCCAAGAUCCACUCCCCGCGGCCGGAGGGGUCCCUGGGGGCGGUGAGGAACGGGGGUCCGGCGCCUGCCUGGACCCUGAACUCCUGCCCUGCUGCCCCUGGGGGCUCCCCGCCUGCCGGCCGCCUCCCCCAAGCCAAAGGGCCAGAGAAAGUCAGAUCUUCCUCCUCUUCCUCUUCCUCCUCCUCCUCCUCCGCCACGCAGAAGGUGCCCAGCCCCCUGCCCACCCCACUCCCGGUGCUGCCCCCCAAGGAGGAAGACAGGGAAGGGCCCAAGGUCAAGUCAGAGCCGCCAGCCCCGGAGGUGCCUGGGGAGCUGCCAGACAAAGCCAGGGGCGGAGCCGUCAAGGUGCUGGUGCCGCUGCCGGUGCCCCCCCGCACCCCGUCCAAAGAGAAGAGGAGCUCGUCCACCUCCUCAUCUUCGUCGUCCUCGUCCUCUUCCUCCUCCUCGUCCUCUUCCUCCGACUCCAGCUCCAGUUCCAGCUCCUCAGAGUCCAGCCACGACUCCCCGGCGAGCAAGGGACCCGACCUGGAGACGGCGAAGAAAGAGCCCCCGAGCCCGGCGCAGAAGGAACUGGCCCGUGAGGGGCGCCCCCUGGAGGUGGCCAAGCGGAAACGCCGUUCCCGAAGCUCCAGCAGCUCCAGCAGCAGCUCGUCGUCAUCAUCCUCCUCAUCUUCAUCCUCAUCUUCCUCCUCCUCCUCAUCGUCGUCCUCCUCAUCCUCUUCUUCCUCUUCCUCCUCCUCGUCCUCCUCCCCCAAGCCGGGGCCCCAGCCGCAGCCCAAGGCGGCCCCCAAGAAGCCCUCGCCUGAGCAGAGGCGCUCCCGGAGCCCCCGGAAGCCGAUCGACUCCCUGCGCGACUCACGCUCUCUCAGCUAUUCCCCGGCCGAGCGGCGCCGGCCUUCCCCUCCGGAGCCCCCCCUGGCCCAGCGGGACCGGCACAGGUAGGUGUCUGCCUGAGCCCCCCCCGGGACCAGCUCGUGGUGGGGUGGGGGGCUAGGAGGAAGGGUGGGGGGC